rnacentral:misc_RNA from 1 species
GCAAACUUGGUCAUUUAGAGGAAGUAAAAGUCGUAACAAGGUUUCCGUAGGUGAACCUGCGGAAGGAUCAUUAACGGUUUUCGGGUGCUCUGCGCCCAAACCCCAACCCUAUGAUUUAUUCAUCCUGUUUCUUUGCCGGCUCCGGCCGGCAGAAGCCUUCUCAAACUCGAUGCAAUCGUGUCGUCUGAAUUGUGAAAACAAAUGAAUCAAAACUUUCAACAACGGAUCUCUUGGUUCUGGCAUCGAUGAAGAACGCAGC